AGAGAGAGAGAGAGAGAGAGAGAUUCAGGAUGUAACGCUCACUCAAGGUCCAUGACUGAUCAUUUGCAAGUUGCAACUGUUAUCAACAGCAUCAGUGAAGCAUUUCCAUUUCAAUGAGGUUGACUCAAUUGGAGAAACAGUAAAGCUACAGCAAAGACCAUCUAUGCAAAGACAUCUUGGACAUUGCCAUUUCAAAAUGUGUUGUAUUCCCCUAAAUCUAUGGAUUAAUUAAGAGCAUGGCACUAUGAGCUGCACUAGCAGUGUUGUUUGCAGAGCCUCCAGCGAUGUCACAACAUUUGGGAAAAAGUUGCUCAACCCCAUGCUUUCAAGGCUGUUCCAGUAGUAUUUGGGUACAACCAGCCCCCUCACAUAGUACCCUUUCAAGGAAGCAGUUGUUUGAGGAGCACCAGAACGAGCCCAGCCCUGAUGAGUAGAAGGCGCCGAGGACAGACUGUCAGUUGGAGGGCAUGUCAGCUCUACUCCAUGUGCCGCCUGUGCAGUGCCC